rnacentral:rRNA from 1 species
UACGGGGGGGGCAAGCGUUGUUCGGAAUUACUGGGCGUAAAGGGUUCGUAGGUGGCCAACUAAGUCAGACGUGAAAUCCCUCAGCUUAACUGGGGAACUGCGUCUGAGACUGGAUGGCUUGAGUGCAGGAGAGGAACGCGGAAUUCCAGGUGUAGCGGUGAAAUGCGUAGAGAUGUGGAGGAACACCAGUGGCGAAGGCGGCUUUCUGGUCUGUAACUGACGCUGAGGCGCGAAAGCGUGGGGAGCAAACAGG